UAGGGAAUCUUCGGCAAUGGACGAAAGUCUGACCGAGCAACGCCGCGUGAGUGAAGAAGGUUUUCGGAUCGUAAAACUCUGUUGUUAGAGAAGAACAAGGACGUUAGUAACUGAACGUCCCCUGACGGUAUCUAGCCAGAAAGCCACGGCUAACUACGUGCCAGCAGCCGCGGUAAUACGUAGGUGGCAAGCGUUGUCCGGAUUUAUUGGGCGUAAAGCGAGCGCAGGCGGUUUCUUAAGUCUGAUGUGAAAGCCCCCGGCUCAACCGGGGAGGGUCAUUGGAAACUGGGAGACUUGAGUGCAGAAGAUGAGAGUGGAAUUCCAUGUGUAGCGGUGAAAUGCGUAGAUAUAUGGAGGAACACCAGUGGCGAAGGCGGCUCUCUGGUCUGUAACUGACGCUGAGGCUCGAAAGCGUGGGGAGCAAACAGG
rnacentral:rRNA from 1 species